CAACAUGUACAUAUGUACAUUAAUGAAAAAUAAUGUUUAGCACAUACAUACAUACAUAUGUAUGCUUUUCACACAUCACAACUGCAUGAGUACAUUAAAUUUCAAUUAUUUUGGCAACCUCAAAAUAUAUACAUAAGUAUGUACAAACACACAUACUAACGGAAUUAGCAAACACUGUCAUCUCUUCAGUAUAACGUUAAAUUAAUAAACAACGAAGAAAUAAAAUAUGUUUGCUUACUCUUUAAGCAAAUAAACUCUUUGUUUAAACAACAAAGUGAAGUAAAUUUCGGCACCUUCCUUUCUUUCCUUUGGCACAAGCAAGCAAAAGAAAAAUCAAAACUUACAACUGUUCAAAAUCAAUUGCAAUAAAAUAAAUGAGAGCAGGAGAAUGAUUCUCAGCGCAACCGUAGGCAAUGCAUGCAAAUGCACUGAGUGCGCGCCGUUAUUUGUGUUGUGCCGGCAAAAACAAGUUUCAUAGUGAAGAAAAAUGUGCGUAUCAGAAUUGGACAAAAUUGUAAAUUAAUUAAUAACUUGAAGAAAUAACCAAUUUUAGUGGGAAUAAAAGGUGAAAAAUAGGGCAAAUAAUUAGUGUGAGUGUAGUAUGAGUUGCAGUAAAAGUUUGUAAAAAUGUGAAAAGCAGCAUGUUUUAAAUUUCGUUUGAAAUAACGAUAAGAAAGUGUAAAGUGUGUAAAAGUGGUAAGAAAAUUAUAUUUAUUAUUAAAAGUUCCAUGAGCAUUUUGUUUGUGUGCGAAUUAAGAAAUGUGUUGUGAUGUGAAAAUAGUAAUAGUGCAAGGAAUUCAUACCAGAAAGGAUUACCUGGAAAAUGAUGUUGACAAUAAGAAACAACAAAUGUAAGCACUUCAAUGCGUUCUGCGUUUGAGAACAAAACUGAGAAACGGUUGCCAACUGUCGCUGUAAAUGACCCCAAAGUGACGGCAGGAGUCUUGUGUUUCAAUUUCGCGGUUACGAGGUAGAUAAAUCCAUG